rnacentral:lncRNA from 1 species
GUGCGUGUGUGCGCGCGUGUGUGCGCGAGUGAGUGUGUGCCCGGGGUGCGCGCGCGGGCGGGAGUGGGCGCGCGCGGGGAAAGGCCCGAAAACACCUUAGUUUGCACCGAGAGACCAUUUGCAGCGGAACCCGAAAGUUUGCAAGAGAAAGAGAGCGCGCGGCGAGCGAGCGGGCCGGGGGCAGCGGCAGCGGCAGCGGCACCGGGGACCAUGGUGCUGCCGGCGCCUCCUCCGCGGGCGUGAAGGCGGCGCUCCCACUUCCUCCCCGGACUCCGCGGUGUCCCAGAAGCUUUUGUUGACAAUUCCAGUUUCCGAACAAAACAUUUCGGCAAUGGUGAGGGCUUCGAUCCCUUCUCUGAUUUGCUGUCGGCCAUGAACGGAUGGAUGUGAUGCCUGCUAGCCAAAAGGGUGAGUGAAUGAAUGUUUGUGAUUAUUCAUCUGAAAAUUCACCAGACAAAAAGUCCGUCAAGACAGUUGCCCACCCAGGAAAGAAGGGACAAAC